AAAUUUUAAAUCACUUUCUAUCAUUUGUUCUAACUGCAAUCAGAACACUGAACUGGCAGAAGUUCUGAACAUCUGGAACUGAAGUUCAGUGAAGUCCUUAAAAUACUUUAGUUCCACUGCACUGAAGUUGCUUGUGUCCCUGAUAAUCCCACUGAGCUGAUCUGCACCCAAAAUUUGAUAUCCAAGACCCAUCUAUCACCAGUUUCACAUAUUGAUGCACAAGCUCUGCCGGAUAAACCCCGAAACACAGCGGAGACCGAGGGAAAGGCCAGCUCGCCCUCCUGAAGCAGAGGCUGGUUCACGCCUGUCGGCACCAGGGCGGCCGCGGCUG